rnacentral:rRNA from 1 species
AACAAAACUACUCGCCAGAAUACUACAAGCAACAGCUUAAAACUCAAAGGACUUGACGGUGCUUUACACCCCCUAGAGGAGCCUGUUCCAUAAUCGAUAAACCCCGAUCCACCCCACCCUCUCUUGCUCAGCCUAUAUACCGCCAUCUUCAGCAAACCCUGAUAAAGGUCACAAAGUGAGCGCAAACGCCACUACCGCGAAGACGUUAGGUCAAGGUGUAGCCUAUGAGACGGUAAAAAAUGGGCUACAUUUUCUGUCUCAGAAAAUUCUACGAAAACCCUUAUGAAAUCUAAGGGUCCAAGGAGGAUUUAGCAGUAAAUUAAGAA